rfam:Triticum aestivum genome assembly, contig: Triticum_aestivum_CS42_TGACv1_scaffold_424452_5BS
AAAGUACUCCCUCCGUCCCAAAAUUCUUGUCUUAGAUUUGUCUAGAUACGGAUGUAUCAAGUCACAUUUUAGUAGUAGAUACAUUCGUAUCUAGCCAAAUCUAAGACAAGAAAUUUGGGACAGAGGGAGUAGUUG